GCAGGUAGGUACAUUAGUGGAAAACUGUAUAAACAAAUUAUGCGUUUUACUUACACCAGAAACAGUUUCUAACCAACACCGCUAUUGUUGUUAUACGUUAAACGUUCAAGUGAAGUGAAAAUGUCGCAGAUGAACAUCCCACAACUAAAAGUAUAGCAAAAUUCAAAACUAUUUUUACUGUACACAAAAAUGCUUGUAUGAUAAAAUAAAAUGUUUUUAUUAUUUGAACAUAAAAUUUUGUACAAACCAAUUUAAUAAUGUUUAUGUUAAACUGUAAGUAUUGAUUUAUAUACCUAAGUAUCUAGCCUUACCUAGUUUUGAUUAUACCUACAUAAUUGCAACGCAUUAUAUUAAACGUAUUGAGUAUUAAUAUAAAAAAUAAUUAAAUGUAAUUACUAAUUAACAUACUAUUCUUUAUACAUAAUUGUUUCCUGUGACAUAAUGUUGUUGUUUUUACGUUUCACGUCUACUAUUCACAUCCACUGCAAGUAUUAAAUCAGUGUAUAAAAUAAUCUGUUCUAACUUCUAGGUAUCUACAUAAAUCAUACUUCGUGUUUCAUUAUUUUUCUAUUCGUUUUGACUGUCAAAGUCUAACACUGUCUAUAGGACACGGAUAGGCACUUUUGUAAAAAAAAAAAUUAAGAAGUUCACACCGUUCAUUAUAGUGCGUGCCGUAUCUAAAUAGGUAUGUUUAAGGAUUCUUAUAUGCAAAUUAAUUUUUUUUUAUCUAUCUGUCAUUUGUUUUUUAUUUUUUUGUGAGAAAUGUAAUGUUUCUAGACCUAGCAAUGAUUCUACAGAAAAACCAACAGAUUUUCCUCCAUACAACUAAAAAUGUGAUCAAACACUAAAAAUAAACGAAGUACAUAAUAAUGCAGAAAAAUGUUAACGGAAGCAAAAUACUAAAGGUAUCUAUAUAAAAAGUGUAAUCAGGUAUUAUAAUCGUAUUACUGUGGUGUUAAAUAGUUUAAUCUUAUAAAUGUACAACUUACUAUAACUGAAUUACGUAUACUACCAAACUAUAGUUAUUAUAAAUAUGUCUAUCCACAUUAUAUUACAAAAUAUGUAAUAUUAAAUUAUAAUUUAUUACA